rnacentral:rRNA from 1 species
UACGAAGGGGUCUAGCGUUGCUCGGAAUCACUGGGCGUAAAGGGUGCGUAGGCGGGUCUUUAAGUCAGGGGUGAAAUCCUGGAGCUCAACUCCAGAACUGCCUUUGAUACUGAAGAUCUUGAGUUCGGGAGAGGUGAGUGGAACUGCGAGUGUAGAGGUGAAAUUCGUAGAUAUUCGCAAGAACACCAGUGGCGAAGGCGGCUCACUGGCCCGAUACUGACGCCGAGGCACGAAAGCGUGGGGAGCAAACAGG